rnacentral:sRNA from 1 species
UUCCAAAGGCAGACUCGGCUGUA